GUCUGGGUAUAUAAAAACAAGUUAAUAUUUUUUGGAGGGUAUGGAUAUUUGCCUGAAGAUAAAGUAUUGGGAACUUUUGAAUUCGAUGAAACAUCUUUUUGGAAUUCAAGUCAUCCAAGAGGAUGGAAUGAUCAUGUACAUAUUUUAGAUACUGAAACAUUUACCUGGAGCCAGCCUAUAACUACUGGUAAAGCACCUUCACCUCGUGCUGCCCAUGCCUGUGCAACUGUCGGAAAUAGAGGCUUCGUGUUUGGAGGCAGAUAUCGAGAUGCUAGAAUGAAUGAUCUUCACUAUCUUAAUCUGGAUACAUGGGAGUGGAAUGAAUUAAUUCCACAAGGCAUAUGCCCAGUUGGUCGAUCUUGGCACUCACUAACACCAGUUUCUUCAGAUCAUCUUUUUCUCUUUGGAGGAUUUACCACUGAUAAACAGCCACUAAGUGAUGCCUGGACUUACUGCAUCAGUAAAAAUGAAUGGAUACAAUUUAAUCAUCCAUAUACCGAAAAACCAAGGUUAUGGCACACAGCUUGUGCCAGCGAUGAAGGAGAAGUAAUUGUUUUUGGUGGAUGUGCCAACAACUUGCUUGUCCAUCACAGAGCUGCACACAGUAAUGAAAUACUAAUAUUUUCAGUUCAACCAAAAUCUCUUGUACGUUACAUUUAAGAGAAAGAAGGCCCAGGAGCAGUGGUUCACGCCUAUAAUCCUAGGACUCUGGAAGGCUCAGGCUGAGGCGGGUGGAUCGCUUGAGCCCAGGAGUUCAAGACCAGCCUAAGCAACAUGGAGAAACACCAUCUCUACAAAAAAUAUAAAAGUUAGCUGGGUAUAGUGGGUGCCUGUAGUCCCAGCUACUCGGAAGACUGAGGGGGGGAGGAUCACCUGAGCCCAGGAGGUAGACGUUGUGGAGAGCCAUGAUCCUGUCACUGCACUGGGUGACACCAGCCUGGGUGACAGAGACCCUGUCUC
rnacentral:lncRNA from 10 species